GGGUCUGUAGCUCAAUUUGGCAGAGCAACGAGCUUUUAACUCGGAAGUUAAGGGUUCGAGUCCCUUCAGACCCA
rnacentral:tRNA from 1 species